UACGUAGGGUGCAAGCGUUGUCCGGAAUUAUUGGGCGUAAAGAGCUUGUAGGCGGUUUGUCGCGUCUGCCGUGAAAAUCCGGGGCUCAACCCCGGACUUGCGGUGGGUACGGGCAGACUAGAGUGUGGUAGGGGAGACUGGAAUUCCUGGUGUAGCAGUGAAAUGCGCAGAUAUCAGGAGGAACACCGAUGGCGAAGGCAGGUCUCUGGGCCGAUACUGACGCUGAGGAGCGAAAGCGUGGGGAGCAAACAGG
rnacentral:rRNA from 1 species